CCUCAAUGAGCCAGUGACACCAGGGACGGGAGCAGAUCAGUGGCCAGCCAGACAGCGAGAGGAGCCGGCAGCGCACGGGAGGAAGGAGCCCUUGCUGUGCAACCAGUUUCAUCUCCACCUGCCCUUCCUCAGGCAGAGAGCCGACCCACACACCGAUGAAGACAUUGAAGUUCAAAGAGAUCAAGUAACAUAGCCAGGAUCACAGAGCGAGUCAGCGGUGAAGCUACAAAUAGCCAGGUAGGCUAUUUCCAGAGGACAAGCUCUCAGCCACUGUGCUAGCAUCGCGCCCACACAAGCACAAUUGCUCACCC